CUGGCGCAAAUGCAAGAUGCGUAUCUUCACGGUGGCUCAGAUGGAUGACAACAGCAUCCAGAUGAAGAAGGACCUGACGACAUUCCUGUACCACCUGCGCAUCACGGCGGAGGUGGAGGUGGUGGAGAUGCACGAGAGUGACAUCUCAGCCUACACCUACGAGAAGACGCUGGUGAUGGAGCAGCGCUCCCAGAUCCUCAAGCAAAUGCACCUCACCAAGAACGAGCGCGAGCGGGAGAUCCAGAGCAUCACGGAUGAGUCCCGCGGCUCCAUCCGGCGCAAGAACCCG
rnacentral:lncRNA from 1 species